ACGUACACUCCUGCGGGAGGCAGCAGUGAGGAAUAUUGGACAAUGGGUGGAAGCCUGAUCCAGCCAUCCCGCGUGCAGGAAGACGGCCCUAUGGGUUGUAAACUGCUUUUAUCUGUGGAUAAACCUACUUACGUGUAAGUAGCUGAAGGUACCAGAAGAAUAAGCACCGGCUAACUCCGUGCCAGCAGCCGCGGUAAUACGGAGGGUGCAAGCGUUAUCCGGAUUUAUUGGGUUUAAAGGGUCCGUAGGCGGACUGAUAAGUCAGUGGUGAAAUCCGACAGCUUAACUGUCGAACUGCCAUUGAUACUGUUAGUCUUGAGUAAGGUUGAAGUGGCUGGAAUAAGUAGUGUAGCGGUGAAAUGCAUAGAUAUUACUUAGAACACCAAUUGCGAAGGCAGGUCACUAAGUCUUAACUGACGCUGAUGGACGAAAGCGUGGGGAGCGAACAGGAUUAGAAACCCGGGUAGUCCC
rnacentral:rRNA from 1 species